rnacentral:ncRNA from 1 species
UUACUAGGGGAGCCAUUUGGCUGAGAAGUUUAGACUGACCCUUUGAACCUGAUACGGUUAAUACCGACGUAGGGAAGUAGCGAAA